AGAAGAACCGUGAACGAACUUCCGCUUUACCUCCCUAUUGGAUAAUUAUCCAGCUGUGUCUUGUGCAUCAUUUAUGUAUGCAUACAAUAGCUAACAAAAGGUGUAUAGUUUAUUCUAGCUGUGGUAUUUGCAUUUGGGGUUUUGUUGUCUCUUAACAUGAGGACCAGAGAAGUGUCGAUGCCAGUAAAGCAGGCCAUUAUUAAGCUGAAAAAUGAGAAAAAAUCGAUCAGAGACAUAGCCGAAACACUGGGUGUGUCAAAAUCAACUGUUUGGAACAUUAUUAAGAAGCAAGAACGCACAGGUCAGCUCAUCAACAGCAAAUCAUCUGGUAGGCCACGGAAGACGUCUGUGGUGGAUGACCAAAAAAUACUUUCAAUUGUCAAGAAAAAGCCCUUUUCAACUGCCGAACAGAUCAAGAACACUCUCCAGGAUGUAGGUGUAGAUGUGUCAAAGACUACCAUAAGGAGAAGACUACACCAGCAUAACUUCAGAUGGUUCACCUCAAGAUGCAAACCACUGGAUAAUAUGACCUCCCUCCCUCAGGACCAAAGUGGGAUGUCACUGCUCCAGGAGCAAGUUAGAAGAGAGAUCUUGCAGAGGAUGCAAACAAGGUUCAGCUCCAUCAUUGAUAGUGAAACGAUGGAUUUGGAGGACCUCCUAAACGUGGCUCAACAAGAGCUUGCUCUGGCUACAGCGACAUCCCAUCACAUUAACAUCCCAGAGGAACUAGUCUGCAGUCUGCAGGAGCUGAUCUGCAGACUCAGCCAGUCCAUGCAAUCUGUUGCAGAGGCACCAGCUAAUCCCUCAGAUAUUGUAUCUGUUACUUCGAACCAUUCCCCUUCCCCUGAAUGAAUGUUUUCCAUCCCACCCCCUUUUAGGUCAGCCUAUGCUGAUUUGCCAACAUUCUGUCAAAUUAUGUCUACUAUUCAUAUAAUGUGCUUGUACUUGUAAAUGCAUAAACAAGUUUCUCAUAAAACAUUGUUUUUGUUAAUAGGAUGCCCUUUUUAUUAUUGUUCAUGGACAUUGUUUGGUCCCUUUUUUCAUUUUCUAUUUCAAGUGGCCAAUCACAGUGCUGCCCACCAGAGGUGGGACUUUAAAUGGAUGACUGUUUCCUGUUACUGAACACUGAUAUUGAUGAAGCCCUGAUGGGCAAAACGUCUGUUCAAUAAAUCAGACUUUCUUGAA